rnacentral:rRNA from 1 species
AGGUGAUAUAUUGAAAAAUGGUAUAUGUUAUUAAUAUUAUUUUAAGGAUCUAUUUAUAUGUAAGAGUAUAAAGAAUUAAUAUUUAAGAAAUGAUAAAAAGAUGAGAAUCGAUCAAGAUUAUGAAAAUAAAGAAAAAGAAAUCAAGUGGAAUGAAACAUCUGAGUAACUUGAGAAAUAAUCAACAGAGAUAAUAUGAGUAACGGUGAGUGAAAGUAUUAAAAAUCUAAAAGUAUAAUUAAGAAAUUAGAAGAAAGUAGAAACCAUCUACUAAGAUUAAGAAAUAAAUAUUAAAUAAAAGUACCGUAAGGGAAAAAGAGAAAAUAGAAUAAUAAAGAGCAGUUAUAGAUAUAACGUACCUUUUGUAUAAUGGGCCAGUGAGUUAUGUAUUUUAGUGAAAUAAUAAAAUUAUAAAUAAAUUGAAAAAAUAAAAUUAAAGUACAUAGGCCCGAAAGCAAACGAUCUACACAUGUUCAAGUAUUAAUUACUCAUUAUGAAAAUAAAAAGAGAAUAAAUGACUGAAUAGGUAGUUGUAGCAAUAACUUCUAAAGAAAUGUGUGUAGUUGUGACAGACAAAUCUGGUUUGCAGAUAGCUGGUUUUCUGCGAAAUAUAUUUUAGUAUAGCCUUUAUUCAAUAUUUAAACUGGUACAGCACUUAAAUACUUUUGGGGGAUUAGAUAAUAAUUUUAUCAAAAUAUUUAAAACUCGGAAUCAGUUAAACAAUAAAAUAAGGAGUCAGACUUAUUGCGAUAAGGUAGUAAGUCAAAAAGGAAACAACCUAGACUAUUAAAUUAAUGUCCCUAAUAUUGAUUAAGUGAACAUAAUCUAUUUUAUUUAUUUCUUUUGCAUUGCAAUUGUUUUAAAUUAAUUUAAAUUAUAGACAAUUAGUUAGUGGGUUUGAUAAUAACCAUCUUAUAAAGAACAUGUAACAAUGCACUAAUUUGAUUUAUAUUUUUAUAUAUUUAUAUAUAUUUAAAUAUUUAUUAAAAAUAGAGAUAAUAUAACGGGUCUAAAUUAAUAACAUAAUUAUAGAUAUUAAUUAAAUUAUAUAUAAAAGUAUAAUUAUUCCGUAAGCUACGCUAGCGGUAUUAUAAUAAUUAAUAUGGUAGCAGAAUAUAUAAUGAAAAAUUAUAAAGAGAUUGCUGGCUUGAGUAACGAUAGAUAAUGAAAGAUUAUCCCCCUAUUUAUAAGGUUUAACUAUAAACGAACGGUCCCUAAGAUAAUAUAGAAAUAUAAUAAUUGAUGGGUGAUAAAACAAGAAAAUAAAAAAGAACCGUACUGUAGACCGACACAGGUAUAAUUAAAGGGGAAUGGGAUAACUACUCUGAAUGAACUCGGCAAAUAAAGUAAAUAUUUAAAAUCGUGCGACUGUUUACCAAAAACAUAGCUUAUUGCAUAUUAGUAAUAAUAAGUAUAAUAAGUGAUAUCUGCCCGGUGUUUGUUUAAUAAUUAUAUUUACUUAAUAGGUAAAUUAAAAAAAAAUAGAUAAACGGCAGUCUUAUUGUGAGGAUUCGAAGGUAGCGAAAUUCAUUGACGUAUAAUUGACGUCCUGCAUGAAUGAAUAAACGAUGCGAUGACUGUAUCCAGAGUAGACUCAGUGAAAUAGCAAUUGCGGUGAAGAUGCCGUAUAUCUGUAGGUUGACAAAAAGACCCUAUGCAGCUUUACUAUAAUUUUAUUUUGAUUAUUUUUAAUUAUCUAUUUCAGAUAGAUUAGGUUAUAUUUAUUUAUUAAUUAUUAUAAAAAAUAAUUAAUUUAUUUAAAUCAAAUGAGAUACCUAUAUAUUUAAUUAAAAUAUCUAAUUUUAUAUUAAAAUAAAAGACAGAGUAAAAUGGUUAGUUUCGAUGGGGCGUCGACAUCAGCGAAAGCAUCUGAUGUGUCUAAAAAUAAAUAUAAUUUUAAUUAUCCCGCUAGCUGCAGUGCAGCUAGCGGGCAUUAUAUAAAUAUUAAAUUAAUUUAGUUUAAUUAAGAUUAAACUUCUAUUAUUUAAUAGUAAAUUACGUACAAUAUUUCUAUAUGGUAAAUAGAUAAAAGUUAAAAGGAUAACAACAUAAUUGUGCGAUGAUAAUAACACUAACAAGUGGAAUUAGUACUUACGUAGAGUGUAGUGAACAGGCAUAAUCAAUUGGUAUGGAUGUCGAUAACGGAUUAACCGCGUGAGAGUUGAUAUUGUCAGCGGUGUUUGCCACCUCGAUGUCGUCUAGACUCGUCCUCCUGGUCGCAGCAACUAGGUAGGGUAGGACUGUUCGUCCUCUAAGGAGUUACUUGAGAUGGGUUAAUUACGACGUGAGUCAGUAAUGAUUUUAUCAUCUAUAGAUACUUUUCUUAACUGUUGCCUUAAGUGUACGCAAGGAUAAUAAGGUAUAUUUCAAUGAUUUAUUGUUAAUUUUUAAAUUUAAUUAUUAACAAUUAAGUUAAAAAUAUUGAGUUUAUAUAUUGAAUGCAUAUCAAAUAUUAAAUCCUUCAGUUUAAGAUUAAACAUAAUAGAUUAUUAUGUUAUAGUAAUUUAGUUUUAUUAACUAUAUUAACUAAUUUAAAUAUAUUUAUUUAAAUAUAUUUAUAAAACAUAUACCU